ACUACUCUCUUCCUUAGUUUUAUAAGAUGUUCUGGCUUUGUCAUAUACCAAGCUCUACAAACCUUGACCAAGAUAAUAGUAAAUCGACCGACAUCUACAACUUUAUACCAAGCUUUAUUAAAUCUAUUGCAAUAGAUAUCUUAUAUUUAUUUGAGAAGUUGCUGAUAUUAGUAUAAACUUUGAGAGGUUUGACUUAAUAUAAAACUCAAAACUAUAACAUCUUAUAAAUAGGAACGGAGGUAGUAG